AAGUCGUAACAAGGUUUCCGUAGGUGAACCUGCGGAAGGAUCAUUACCUUUCAAUGCAGCAGAAUGGGGAUGGUUGAGUUUCUCGCCUCUCUGUUCUGCCUGUAUUCUACCCUUGUUUGUCAUAUACUAUUAUUUCCUCGGCAGGCUUGCUUGCCGAGUGAAACCAAUUAUAACCUAUUUAAUUUUCAAUCAGCGUCUGAACAAAAUUAAUAAUUACAACUUUCAACAACGGAUCUCUUGGUUCUC
rnacentral:misc_RNA from 1 species